rnacentral:tRNA from 1 species
GAGAUAUAUUGUUUACUAAGUAAGCUGCUAACUUAUCUUAAAAGCGGUUAAACCCCGUUUGUAUCUCU